UACGUAGGGUGCAAGCGUUGUCCGGAAUUAUUGGGCGUAAAGAGCUCGUAGGUGGCCUGUCGCGUCGGCUGUGAAAACCCGGGGCUCAACCCCGGGCCUGCAGUCGAUACGGGCAGACUAGAGUGCGGUAGGGGAGACUGGAAUUCCUGGUGUAGCGGUGAAAUGCGCAGAUAUCAGGAGGAACACCGGUGGCGAAGGCGGGUCUCUGGGCCGUAACUGACGCUGAGGAGCGAAAGCGUGGGGAGCGAACAGG
rnacentral:rRNA from 1 species